GAAAAUAUUUCUGUUUCUGAAAGGAUGGGCAUUGCUGCUGACAAGGAGUGAACUCUUUCUUUCCAUAGACAAACCCCCAAAUGUCUGUUCUGGCUUUAAGUAGAUAUUAGCUUCAGCCUAAGGAAAACAGCAACAAAUCAGGAAAACCGAGUUUCCUGCAGAAAGCCCGGUGUUUGUCUGUCCGGUAACGGACUGCUAAUUCCAGGAAUAAAACAGCUGCUAUCCUUGCACGCAGGCAGUUGUCUUGGACUUUAAAGAGGAAAUGAAAUGGGGAAAGGAAACAAAAAAUAUUAAAACAUCACGUAUAAAACCAUGCCAAAGGUAUAGAGAAGCAGAAGUUCUCAUUCAGUGAAGCAUUACAUGAUUGCUCGAUAGGUCAGCAAGUACUGCAGGUGAAAUUCUGAGUUCUCUGAAGCGGAUUGUUAAAACUUGGAGGCUGGGGCUUGCUCACAUUUUGCCUAAAAUGCUUAGCCUGCUUUCAUGCUGUUUAUGGGGGAGACUGAGUCCUGACCCAUGGAAAAACGAUGCCUGAGAUGCAACCGGCACUAAGUCAAGGUGGUCCCACAAGUACAAAUUCAGGAAACAAGUACAAAAUCUAGGAAAAAGCGAUCAGCAAGACAGUUUCUGCUAUUGAUUGGGUUGAAACAGAAAGUUUUAAUUCUGUGGGAACUUGCAUAGCCCCCAUUACGUUAUCAUCUUGGUGGUGCUUCAUCACCUGUAUUGCAUUCAUUCUCAUGCAGCCGUAGGAGAUGCAGGUGUCUCCUGGCACAGGUGAAGAACAUAAUGAGAGACAACAGAGAGAGAUUUACUAACAUCCCUCAGCCUGGCUGGUCUUGCCUGUAAAAGGUCUUGCCUUUGGUUGUGGUUUAAGUGUUGAUGCAGGGUCUUUUCUUGGUGUACUUUUCUGCUGUCUCUGCCCCUUCCUGGCAUCAAGAGCAGAUUGGCUUCCUCUGUAGUAGGGAUGCUGUGUGACACUGAAGAGCAACAUCCUGAGGAUUUAUUUUUGAAGCCAGUGUCAUGGCUGGGAGAGGCCUGAGUUGUAGUUGUCUUCAGACUGGAGCCAGUUCCCAUGUCUCAGCUUUGCAGAUGCGCAGGGACACCUCACGCUGGCCUGAGAGCAAGCCAAUGCAUGGAGACCGUUGCACCUGUGAAAGCCUGCAUAUGCAAACCAUCUUGUACAAGCAGUAAUUCACUCUGUGAUUACUUCUGUUGCUGCCGCAGCAUCGUCCACUCUCAGAAGGCACAUUAAUUACUGUAUCAGGAAAACCUGAUGGAAGCAGGAGACCAUCUUCAUGCCUAAAACUAAUUAAAUGAAAAGGCAGAGCUCACUAGACCUGGAGUUCCUCGCUCAUGCAAGGGGUGAGGGCUGCGCGGUGAAUGUGUGUUCCAGCAGACCCCAGGGAAGUCUGGUGUUUGACACAACUCGCAAAGGAUCGCAUGAAGUUUCCCACCAGGACUUUGCAUUGGGGAGUGAGGAACGAAAUGGAGCAAAUCUUACCCUCCGGGACUGGAGGACAAAGAAACCUAAGGAGCACCUGAGUGCUAUCGAUGGUAUGAAAUGCCAGAGGACAUAGGAGCUCUGCUUCUCUGGUCCCAUGGAGGCUUUUUAGCAUGAAUCAUGCUAAAGCAGCAAUCCCCAUGAAAUGAGGACAGCUUCCAGCACAGGCUGACGAGUAGUUAUUUUUCCUCCUGCUGCUGAAGCCAUUGGAAAAGUCUGAUUGAUCCAGGAUGUCAUGUCAGAGCCUAAUUCCCCUUUUUGCAAACGCCCAUAUGCUCAUGUUUAGUGCUUAAUAAAAGGUAAGCUCCAGUCAAUGGGAAAAUGUGCUUAAGAGCUUUAUUCGCUUUCUUAAGUGCUUUGCUGGGUCUGGCCCCAUGCAACGUGUCAAGCACCCAUUAGUCUCAUCUUUUAUUGCUGUAAUACAGAUAGCUCCUCGGAAAUAACCCUUUCAACACAAAGGUGGGGUUUUUUUGGAGGGAAAGCCACCCUGUGCACGUGCACUUACUAAUAAUGACAUGCAUUUGGGUGAUGCUCUGGCUUUCUGCUCUGAGGAAAUAAAGGGAGGAAACAUGAUGGUCUUGGAGUAGGUACAAAGCUGUCAGGCGCCUGGCUCGGGUGAAGUUGCAGAAAGCGUUUCUCUUUGUGUUGCAGGGCCUGGCAGCCUGGUGAGAUAAUAAAAGAUAAAGCAAACUGUACGACAAUGGAAAAUGCUGAGCUCCCUGAGUAAUUAAAGGUUGUGUAAGAUGGUCGCAUGGCUUGCGAGGCUUAUUAAUACAGUCACGUUUGCAUUAUAUAAAGGGUAAUUAAAAUGCAGCCUGCUUACCAUU